rnacentral:misc_RNA from 1 species
GGUGGAGCUCCACCCAGUGGAUGAUCUUCCCCAUGGCUUCCUGAACUUCUCCACGGCAAGCAGGGAGGCACGACUGGCCUCGGACGUCUGUGUGGACAAAAUACGACAAAUUCUUCAACUUUCAACAUAACUGGGCAUUGCUGUAAUUUUUUGUAACAAAUUGUGAAGCAUUGAUGGAAUCCACAUGAAAAUUCUGUUUUGUAAAGAAAUGCAGUGGAACAAAACAAAAAAACAGUGGGACAAAUUACAAUCAUGGAUGUUUUUUUAAUUACUUAUUACAUAAAUCUCAAUUCAUAUUGAUUACAUGAUUAUUGCUCUCAUUUGGAACACCUCUUAAAACAAGCAAUGAAAUACAUGUAUCAUUUUGAUAUUUAAAAUAUAUUUGGUUGAUUUCAUAUUGGAAACUUAGUGAUUUUGGUAUGAACUCAAGAGUACCUGAUGUGUUUUAUGGUAUUAUGACAUUAAUUUACUGGUUUUAUUGUUAAACAAUUUCCAUUUUACUGUAGAGUUGAUACAGCAGCUUGACCUGUUUUGUGAUAAGUUUCCCUUACUUAUGCGGUGCUUAUUUUUAUAAACAAUUGUUGUCUCUGUAAUUGAGGAGUAUAGAAUUAGAUUUUUUUAAAGCUAUUAUAUUUCAUUGAUUAUAAUCAUGCUAUAUUAAAAAGGAAUGGGAUUAUAUUGUGAUCUGACAAAACAAUGGCACCUUGUGUUCUUUUGAUUCAGUCUCAUGGAUGUGAAUAUUUGGGCAUUAACCCUAUUGCAUUGUCUGUAAGAUAAUUUUUUUGUUUUUGGAAUUAAUUUUUUCUUUAAUUUUACAGUAUAAUAAUUACUUCCCUUAAGUACAGUUGAACUUCGAUAUCUCAAAUACAAUAGAUACGUUGAAGUGAUUUUUAAGCCCCAACCACUUAUUUUUUAAGUAUUUUACCUUCGAUAUCUCGAAUACUCGGAUAUCUCGAAGUUUUUCAACAGUCCUAUCUAGUUCGAGAUAGCGAAGUUUGACUGUAUUGUAAUUUUGGCUUUGUUGUCAUAAAGAAACUUCUUUUGUAUGGUAGUUUCUCACAGAACAGAAUUUCACAAGCUGUAUUUUCUGUACUUUUAGCAUAUAAUAGCCACUCCCCACUCAGUGAAUUGUUCUGUGUCAGAAAAUGGAUGUUUUGAAUUAGUAGACAAUUUUACUGUCGUGAGAUGUUUUAUGAUCUACAGUGCAAUGUUAUUUGAUUUUUUAAAUCUCACUAUCAUUCUGGAGAGAACAGAUCAUGUAUCACCCAGAAUAAAUUUUAUUUACCAUAUUUUAGUAGUUUUCAAUGUAUACAUGAUUUAAACUUUUAAAUGACUCAAUUUAUUUUAAUAGUCACUGCAGAUGUAAAAUAUGAAUGUAACGAAAUCUUAUAGGUUCAGUCUUCUCACUUGAUCUGUUUUAAACUAUUGUUUAUCUUCCAAGCAUACUUGCUCUAUUUUGUGAAUUACAUGUACAUGUAUUUAUGUAUUAUAUACACCAUUGUGAGUUGCCCCAGCAGCUGUUGAUAUUUUGUCAGCAAUCAUACUGUCUUAAUGUGUUAACCCCUUAAAUGCCAGCCCGAGGUUUGUGUUAUAAAAAAAUGAGCAGUUAAAUUAUUUUUUAAAAUAUUUACUGUAAUGACCAUUACCGUUUAAAUUGCGAUGCACAAGAUGUUUGUUGAAAAUAAAUUAAUUUUCCAUG